rnacentral:tRNA from 1 species
GCCUGGGUGGCUCAGUCGGUUAAGCAGCUGAUUUCAGCUCAGGUCAUGAUCUCACAGCUUGUGAGUUCGAGCCCCGCAUCAGGCU